rnacentral:tRNA from 1 species
GGGAAAGUGGCUCAGUGGUAGAGCACUUGCCUUGCAUGAGACCCUGGGUUCGAUUCCUAGCACCA